AACGUAGGGGGCGAGCGUUGUCCGGAAUUACUGGGCGUAAAGGGCGCGUAGGCGGUUAUCCAAGUCAGGGGUGAAAACCUUGGGCUCAACUCAGGGCCUGCCUCUGAAACUGGGUAACUUGAGGGCAGGAGAGGGGAGUGGAAUUCCCAGUGUAGCGGUGAAAUGCGUAGAUAUUGGGAGGAACACCAGUGGCGAAGGCGGCUCUCUGGCCUAACCCUGACGCUGAGGCGCGAAAACGUGGGGAUCAAACAGGAUUAGAUACCCUGGUAGUCCCUGAGCGGGCUGG
rnacentral:rRNA from 1 species